ensembl:snRNA U6 U6 spliceosomal RNA
GUGCUUGCUUUGGCAGCACAUAUACUAAAAGUGGAAAGAUAGGGAGAAGAUUAGCAUGGUCCCUGUGCAAGGAUGACACACUAAUUCAUGAAGCAUGUCAUUCUUAU